rnacentral:rRNA from 1 species
AAAUUAGGGUUCGAUUCCGGAGAGGGAGCCUGAGAAACGGCUACCACAUCUACGGAAGGCAGCAGGAGCGAAAAUUGCCCAAUCCCGACACGGGGAGGCAGUGACGAGAAAUAACAACUCUUGGUUAUUCUAAGAAGUGUAAUGAGGAUAAUUUAAAACCCUUACCGAAAGCAAUUGGGGGGCAAGUCUGGUGCCAGCAGCCGCGGUAAUUCCAGCUCCAAUAGCGUAUAUUAAAGUUGUUGCAGUUAAAAGCUCGUAGUUGAAGUUCUGGCUGCUUGACCCUCGAGCUCUGUAGCCGAGGGCUCAGCAGUCAUCCGCUUGCAAAUAUAUGUUCGCCUUUAACCGGGCGGCUAUAUGAGUAAGCAUUUUACCUUGAGAAAAACAGAGUGUUCCAGGCAGGUUUGUCCGGAAUGCAUUAGCAUGGAAUAAUAGAAUAUGACUGAAGUCGAUUUAUUGGUUUGAGGCUUUAGUAAUGAUUAAUAGGAACAGUCGGGGGCAUUGGUACUUGUCAGUCAGAGGUGAAAUUCUAGGAUUUGACAAAGACUAACAAAUGCGAAAGCAUUUGCCAAGGAUGUUUUCAUUAAUCAAGAACGAAAGUUAGGGGAUCAAAGACGAUCAGAUACCGUCCUAGUCUUAACUAUAAACUAUACCGACUCGGAUUCAGAUGAAUCAUAAAGUUCAUUUGGGACCGUAGGAGAAAUCAAAGCUUUUGGGUUCUGGGGGAAGUAUGGUCGCAAGGCUGAAACUUAAAGGAAUUGACGGUUUUGCACCACCAUGGAGUGGAGUCUGCGGCUUAAUUUGACCCAACACUGGGAAACUCAUCAGGGCAAGAAGAUUGUAGGAUUGACAGAUUGAGAGUUCUUUCUUGAUUGGUCUAGUGGUGGUGCAUGGCCGUUCUUAGUUGGUGGAGUGAUUUGUCUGGUUAAUUCCGUUAACGAACGAGACCUUAACCUGCUAACUAGUACACCGAUGACAAAUCGGUGAUACUUCUUAGAGGGACUAUGUGAUGUAAUCACAUGGAAGUUUGAGGCAAUAACAGGUCUGUGAUGCCCUUAGAUGUCCUGAGCUGCACGCGUACUACAAUGGUGCUUUCAUCGAGCUUUUCCUGAUCCGAAAGGAUUUGGGUAAUCUUUUUAGUGAGCACCGUGCUUGGGAUAGAUCUUUGUAAUUAUGGAUCUUGAACUAGGAAUUCCUAGUAAGCACGUGUCAUCAGCA